rnacentral:rRNA from 1 species
CCUACGUGGGGCAGCAGUGAGGAAUAUUGGUCAAUGGGCGCGAGCCUGAACCAGCCAAGUAGCGUGAAGGAUGACUGCCCUACGGGUUGUAAACUUCUUUUAUAAAGGAAUAAAGUGAGGCACGUGUGCCUUUUUGUAUGUACUUUAUGAAUAAGGAUCGGCUAACUCCGUGCCAGCAGCCGCGGUAAUACGGAGGAUCAGAGCGUUAUGCGGAUUUAUUGGGUUUAAAGGGAGCGUAGAUGGGUUGUUAAGUCAGUUGUGAAAGUUUGCGGCUCAACCGUAAAAUUGCAAUUGAUACUGGCAGUCUUGAGUACAGUUGAGGUAGGCGGAAUUCGUGGUGUAGCGGUGAAAUGCUUAGAUAUCACGAAGAACUCCGAUUGUGAAGGCAGCUUACUAAACUGCCACUGACAUUGAUGCUCGAAAGUGUGGGUAUCAAACAGGAUUAGAUACCCCGGUAGUC